CCCUGCACUUGUGGUCUGUGAUCUACUCCCAGUUGGCACUUGAACUUUAUCACUAAGGUGAUUUUCAAGUUUCCUAAUGUCAAUAACAACUCUCUACAAGGUUUAAUUUGAUGAGAAGAUCCAGAGUCAACAAUCCACUCAUAAGUAAAAAUAUUGGAUAACAAUGAAUGUAUACCUGCCAUGUUAGAUACACAUUCACCUAGGUGAUCUUGUUUGCCAAUCAAUUCCUGAUACUGUUGCUCUGUGAGAAAGUAACCUGAUCCAUGACUGGGAUGGUAUGGUCUUGAACUUUGCAGAUUGUUUGAUUUUGUAUUGGAGCUAGAGUUGGCUAUUGGUUUUGAACUGUGCAAGUGGUGUCUGAUGUGCCUACUGGGAGGACUUCCUCCUGCUCUUGAAGUCCUGAGGAUAGCCGACUACUCUAUAGCAAUAAUCCUUCAGAUGAACUUUGUAACCACAGUGAAUGCAAGGAAUUCCUCCACCUAUAGCUCCUAUAGAUCCUCCAGAGUUUCCCUGCUUCUUUGGUCUGUAACCUUGAGUCCUACCAGCCAACAUUGUCAAGGGAUCCUUGUGAACAUCAACUACACCCAAUGAUAUUUUGCCCUCCUCUUGAGUCAUGAUCGCAUAGGCUUCAUUCA
rnacentral:lncRNA from 1 species